GCCUAUCUCCCUCUUUAUCCUUUUUUCCAUCUUCUUCUUCUUCUUCAACUAGUUGAAUGUUUGAGCAAUGUCUCGAGGCACUGAUCGCUUACUGAAGAAUUUGAAGCAAUUCACUGACCUUCAAUACAAGUACUUCAGUAGCCGCUAUGGACAGCAACUCAUUGACAUUUUCGAAUUUCCAAUAAAGCUUGUUCUUUCACCUAUUACACUUGCAUAUGACAUUGCCGGCUCUGCUCCGAGAGGUUUCGGUGUACCUGAAUUCAUCUCUAAGCUCUCUUAUUCGACCAUCUUUGUGGUAGCUACUCUGGGUACUUAUGACAUUGCAAUGGAGCUCGGAAAGAAGGUGAUCAGCCAGAGGGACUGCCGGACAUGCUGUGGGUGGCAGGCGUUGCAGUGCACAAUGUGCAAAGGAUCAGGCAAAGUGCAUUACCAAGUGAAGAACUACACAUUGAAAAGGGGAGAAAAAGCCACAGCUGAAUCCAUUGCUGAUGCGAUAGCUGAUAACAGAGCUGAGUUGGUGCAUCUUCCUUCCACAGUGGACCUUCACUUGCCACUGCCAUCUAAA
rnacentral:misc_RNA from 1 species